rnacentral:rRNA from 1 species
AAGGGCACCACAAGAACGCGUGGAGCAUGUGGCUUAAUUUGACUCAACUCGGGAAACCUUACCGGGUCCGGACAUACUGAGGAUUGACAGGCAAAUAAUAGUUAUACUUUUUUGUAUAGCUUACUUACCAAAUAUGUAAGUCCUUUCAUGAUUGUGUGAUAGGUGGUGCAUGGCCGUUCUUAGUUCGUGAAGUGAUCUGUCUGCUUAAUUACGUUUCAGAUAUAUGGGGUUCUAAGCUAUUACGACGUAAGGUGCUUCGGUACACUUGCUUAGUAGCCUGCCCCUUUGAAAGCAACGAACGUGACCUCAAACCUAUGUUACCUCUUUUUAUUAUAGAGGCUAUCUUAGGUGACUGCCAGAGUUGUCAACUCAGAGGAAGGUUGAGGCAAUAACAGGUCUGUGAUGCCCUUAGAUGUUCCGGGCUGCACACGUGCUACAAUGAUUGUUGCAGUAAGUAUCUGACUGCUCUUAUACUGUGUUUGUACUUCGGUACAUCAACACAGUGGGUUUUACCCUUCGGGGUAUUACUCAUAGACCUACCUCGAAAGUACGGUAGACAAUCAAUUCCAAGUAACAAUCUACCUAUUUUAUAGGAAAGCACAAGCCUAAAGACUUUGUUUGUAUUUGCUUCGGCUUUUGCAACUUGGUCGUGCUCUAAUUGAAUUCGUGGUCGGGACAGACCAUUGUGCUUAAUUAUUGGUCUCGGUCUCAACUAGGAAUGCCUUGUACGGGUCUUUGGUUCAACAUACCACCCGGAAUACGUCCCUACCCUUUGUACACACCGCCCGUCGCUCUUACCGAUGGACUACUCUGUGAGUUGGAGGGACUGGCCAUCCAUAUAUGCUUCUUCGGAUGUGUAUAGACUAUAGAAACUCCUGCGAACAGUGUGGUCUAAAGGAAAGAGAAGUCGAACAAGGCA